UUGGGUAUGGUGUAAUGGUCAACAUUACUGUUUCUCACACAGUAGCUCCUGGUUCGAUCCUGGUACCCAAG